GCUAAAGUAUUCUAAUCUUUUUUUCUAGGACAGUGGGGAGGUUUUCCUUGAAAUUCACAGAAGAAGUGAAAUUGUAAGUUACAUUUGUUCCUCCUACAGCUAAGGAAAAUACACAAUGUACUAGAGGAGAUAAAAUGAAGUGCAUUUUUUAAAAUCAUUUUUGUUGUUCCUACUUGUACCAAGGAACAGCAACAAAACAGAAGUAGUAUUUCACGUCUUUAAAUUGCUGGGUAACUAAGCCAGCUUUGGCCUAUCAAAAUCACAAACACACCAUGGUGAAAUGGCCCAAGUACAAAUGUGUGCAUACAUGUCGAAAAAAGUGCCAGUUUUUCUGAAAAUUCUCAAAACCCUUCAGUCUUAGAGGGUGUCAUUUAUUUUGGUUUGGACUGAAAGGUUCAUAGUCUUGGCAAGACGCUGAGAGUCGGAAAACUCAUCCAUCCUUUGGCUUCACUUCGCGUGGCAGAGUAACCAAGGCGUUAAAAACUCAGGCUUGGAUUUUUGCUAUACCGGAUGCUUGAGGUUGCAGUUGACCAGCCGAAGAUCCAUCACAUGUCAGAACACAGACUGCCGCCGUAUUUGACAAACGCACACAUUCAUACAAAGACGGGACCCGAACCACCUUUCAACCAAAGCUCACUCUGAAGCCAGAGAUGUUCUACUCGACCAGUGUUUCUGCGUCUCUUUCAUCCAUUUUCUUGUAUGAUCUAUGGCUUUUUGUAGACAACAGCAGCUGCCAAGCGGUGAUGAACAAACGUCGGAAUACCGUUUAAACCUGUUCCCACCAUACACUGACAAAUUACCAACAGACGUGAGCUCAUGUCCGUAAAAACCUCCUGAAUCCCUCGGCUUUCUCGCUUCAUCCUAAAGGAUUUAUUGUCUCCUGGUAAAGCAGAGCGGGCUGUACGACAGCGAGACGCAGGAGCAGAGACACUCUGCCGCAUGAGCGGAGGCGCGGAGUGAUCCUCCAGCGGCACCAGGGGCCCGCGAGUCAACCAGAUGCUUGAGGUUGCGGUUGACCAGCCGAAGAUCCAUCACAUGUCAGAACACAGAGUGCCGCCGUAUUUGACAAACGCACACUUUCAUACAAAGACGGGAACAUGUGGACGGACUUGAAAACCGAUAACCUGUCAUGUUGGAUGCAGACAAAGAAGGAGGUUGUUGUUUUUUCUCUACUUUUUUUUUUGCUUUCACUUCAUUUUUCAAAGGUAGAAAAGCAGGAGGGAAAACAGAAGAGGAUUGUUUCCAGUCGAUUCUUUCCUGCUCCCAGAUUAUGGAAACAAAACAUGCUUGAGUAUUGGGAAUUGUGUGGUUUUCCUGUCAUAACUCUUAACAGGACAGAGAGACACACACACACCAGAACAUGAGAUUGCUGACAUUAACUGAGUGAAGACAUUCUGCAACUAAGACAAAAUCUAUCUAUCCAUCUUAAAAUGGAGCAGCGGCGUCACUGCAACGAUAGAGAAAAAGUGUAAAAUGUGGGUUAACUGAAUUGCAAUUCUGAACCAAAAUUGCACAAUUUCAUGUUACGUCAUAUUAUGCAGCCCAAUUAGGAAAUCUGCUCAACCCCGAUGCUGAGGUAUGGAGGAGGUUCCAUGAGCCUGUGGGGCAAUUUCACCUCCAAAAUCCCCAAGAACCUUGUUAGAGUGCAUUGAUUCAUUACCUCUUCAAUUCAUUGACUGUUUGGUUACGUUCUAGGACCCGAUAUGCCAGAUAAAUGGAUAUGGUUUGUUCUGAGGGUUUUUAUAGUAGGAUAAUGAAAACAAAGUUACACAGAAAAUGUUGGUCAGACAUAAAAAAAAAAAAGAAGAAGAAGAAAAAAAAAAGCAUUCCUGCACCAGUUACAUGAACACAAAAAUGAUGGGGGAUAC